CAGCCGCCGCGGUAAAACGAAGGGUGCAAGCGUUACUCGGAAUUACUGGGCAUAAAGCGUGCGUAGGUGGUGGUUUAAGUCCGUUGUGAAAGCCCUGGGCUCAACCUGGGAAUUGCAGUGGAUACUGGGUCACUAGAGUGUGGUAGAGGAUAGUGGAAUUUCCGGUGUAGCAGUGAAAUGCGUAGAGAUCGGAAGGAACAUCUGUGGCGAAGGCGACUAUCUGGGCCAACACUGACACUGAGGCACGAAAGCGUGGGGAGCAAACAGGAUUAGAUACCCGUGUAGUCCCUGUCUCUUAUAC
rnacentral:rRNA from 1 species